CCUACGGGAGGCAGCAGUAAGGAAUAUUGGUCAAUGGAGGAAACUCUGAACCAGCCAUCCCGCGUGAAGGAUGAAGGGGCUCUGCCUUGUAAACUUCUUUUGUCUGGGGCGAAAAAGCUCGAUUUAUCGAGAACUGACGGUACCAGAAGAAUAAGCACCGGCUCACUCCGUGCCAGCAGCCGCGGUAAUACGGAGGGUGCCGGCGUUAUCCGGAAUCACUGGGUUUAAGGGGUGUGAGGGCGGCAGUGUUGAAAGGCGGUGGCUUAACCAUGGAAUUGCCAUUGAUACUGCAGAGCUUGAAUGAGGUUGAGGUUGGCGGAAUGUGACAUGUAGCGGUGAAAUGCUUAGAUAUGUCAUGGAACACCGAUGGCGAAGGCAGCUGACUGGACCUAUAUUGACGCUGAGGCACGAAAGCGUGGGGAGCGAACAGGAUUAGAUACCCCGGUAGUC
rnacentral:rRNA from 1 species